rnacentral:rRNA from 1 species
GUGGGGAAUAUUGGACAAUGGGCGAAAGCCUGAUCCAGCCAUGCCGCGUGUGUGAAGAAGGUCUUCGGAUUGUAAAGCACUUUAAGUUGGGAGGAAGGGCAGUAAGUUAAUACCUUGCUGUUUUGACGUUACCAACAGAAUAAGCACCGGCUAACUUCGUGCCAGCAGCCGCGGUAAUACGAAGGGUGCAAGCGUUAAUCGGAAUUACUGGGCAUAAAGCGCGCGUAGGUGGUUCAGCAAGUUGAAGGUGAAAUCCCCGGGCUCAACCUGGGAACUGCCUCCAAAACUACUGAGCUAGAGUACGGUAGAGGGUAGUGGAAUUUCCUGUGUAGCGGUGAAAUGCGUAGAUAUAGGAAGGAACACCAGUGGCGAAGGCGACUACCUGGACUGAUACUGACACUGAGGUGCGAAAGCGUGGGGAGCAAACAGGAUUAGAAACCCCAGUAGUCC